GGUUAAGCGACUAAGCGUACACGGUGGAUGCCUAGGCAGUCAGAGGCGAUGAAGGGCGUGCUAAUCUGCGAAAAGCGUCGGUAAGCUGAUAUGAAGCGUUAUAACCGACGAUACCCGAAUGGGGAAACCCAGUGCAAUACGUUGCACUAUCGUUAGAUGAAUACAUAGUCUAACGAGGCGAACCGGGGGAACUGAAACAUCUAAGUACCCCGAGGAAAAGAAAUCAACCGAGAUUCCCCCAGUAGCGGCGAGCGAACGGGGAGGAGCCCAGAGUCUGAAUCAGUUUGUGUGUUAGUGGAAGCGUCUGGAAAGUCGCACGGUACAGGGUGAUAGUCCCGUACACCAAAAUGCACAGGCUGUGAACUCGAUGAGUAGGGCGGGACACGUGACAUCCUGUCUGAAUAUGGGGGGACCAUCCUCCAAGGCUAAAUACUCCUGACUGACCGAUAGUGAACCAGUACCGUGAGGGAAAGGCGAAAAGAACCCCGGCGAGGGGAGUGAAAUAGAACCUGAAACCGUGUACGUACAAGCAGUGGGAGCACCUUCGUGGUGUGACUGCGUACCUUUUGUAUAAUGGGUCAGCGACUUAUAUUUUGUAGCAAGGUUAACCGAAUAGGGGAGCCGUAGGGAAACCGAGUCUUAACUGGGCGUCUAGUUGCAAGGUAUAGACCCGAAACCCGGUGAUCUAGCCAUGGGCAGGUUGAAGGUUGGGUAACACUAACUGGAGGACCGAACCGACUAAUGUUGAAAAAUUAGCGGAUGACUUGUGGCUGGGGGUGAAAGGCCAUCAAACCGGGAGAUAGCUGGUUCUCCCCGAAAGCUAUUUAGGUAGCGCCUCGUGAACUCAUCUUCGGGGGUAGAGCACUGUUUCGGCUAGGGGGCCAUCCCGGCUUACCAAACCGAUGCAAACUCCGAAUACCGAAGAAUGUUAUCACGGGAGACACACGGCGGGUGCUAACGUCCGUCGUGAAGAGGGAAACAACCCAGACCGCCAGCUAAGGUCCCAAAGUCAUGGUUAAGUGGGAAACGAUGUGGGAAGGCACAGACAGCCAGGAUGUUGGCUUAGAAGCAGCCAUCAUUUAAAGAAAGCGUAAUAGCUCACUGGUCGAGUCGGCCUGCGCGGAAGAUGUAACGGGGCUAAACCAUGCACCGAAGCUGCGGCAGCGACACUUAGGUGUUGUUGGGUAGGGGAGCGUUCUGUAAGCCGUUGAAGGUGACCUGUGAGGGUUGCUGGAGGUAUCAGAAGUGCGAAUGCUGACAUAAGUAACGAUAAUGCGGGUGAAAAACCCGCACGCCGGAAGACCAAGGGUUCCUGUCCAACGUUAAUCGGGGCAGGGUGAGUCGACCCCUAAGGCGAGGCUGAAAAGCGUAGUCGAUGGGAAACAGGUUAAUAUUCCUGUACUUGGUGUUACUGCGAAGGGGGGACGGAGAAGGCUAGGCUGGCCGGGCGACGGUUGUCCCGGUUUAAGCGUGUAGGGGGAGUGACCAGGUAAAUCCGGUUGCUUAUCAACCCUGAGGCGUGAUGACGAUGCACCACGGUGCAGAAGCAGUUGAUGCCAUGCUUCCAGGAAAAGCCUCUAAGCAUCAGGUAACAUUAAAUCGUACCCCAAACCGACACAGGUGGUCAGGUAGAGAAUACUCAGGCGCUUGAGAGAACUCGGGUGAAGGAACUAGGCAAAAUGGUGCCGUAACUUCGGGAGAAGGCACGCUGGCGUUAGGUGAAAGGACUAGCUCCUGGAGCUGAAGCCAGUCGCAGAUACCAGCUGGCUGCAACUGUUUAAUAAAAACACAGCACUGUGCAAACACGAAAGUGGACGUAUACAGUGUGACGCCUGCCCGGUGCUGGAAGGUUAAUUGAUGGGGUCAGCCGCAAGGCGAAGCUCUUGAUCGAAGCCCCAGUAAACGGCGGCCGUAACUAUAACGGUCCUAAGGUAGCGAAAUUCCUUGUCGGGUAAGUUCCGACCUGCACGAAUGGCGUAAUGAUGGCCAGGCUGUCUCCACCCGAGACUCAGUGAAAUUGAACUCGCUGUGAAGAUGCAGUGUACCCGCGGCAAGACGGAAAGACCCCGUGAACCUUUACUAUAGCUUGACACUGAACAUUGAGCCUUGAUGUGUAGGAUAGGUGGGAGGCCUUGAAGUGUGGACGCCAGUCUGCAUGGAGCCAACCUUGAAAUACCACCCUUUAAUGUUUGAUGUUCUAACUCGGCCCCAUGAUCUGGGGUGAGGACAGUGUCUGGUGGGUAGUUUGACUGGGGCGGUCUCCUCCCAAAGAGUAACGGAGGAGCACGAAGGUUAGCUAAUCACGGUCGGACAUCGUGAGGUUAGUGCAAAGGCAUAAGCUAGCUUGACUGCGAGAGUGACGGCUCGAGCAGGUACGAAAGUAGGUCUUAGUGAUCCGGUGGUUCUGAAUGGAAGGGCCAUCGCUCAACGGAUAAAAGGUACUCCGGGGAUAACAGGCUGAUACCGCCCAAGAGUUCAUAUCGACGGCGGUGUUUGGCACCUCGAUGUCGGCUCAUCACAUCCUGGGGCUGAAGUAGGUCCCAAGGGUAUGGCUGUUCGCCAUUUAAAGUGGUACGCGAGCUGGGUUUAGAACGUCGUGAGACAGUUCGGUCCCUAUCUGCCGUGGGCGUUGGAAGAUUGAGAGGGGCUGCUCCUAGUACGAGAGGACCGGAGUGGACGAAUCACUGGUGUUCGGGUUGUCAUGCCAAUGGCAUUGCCCGGUAGCUAAAUUCGGAAGAGAUAACCGCUGAAAGCAUCUAAGCGGGAAACUUGCCUCGAGAUGAGUCUUCCCUGGGGCUUAAAGCCCCCUGAAGGAACGUUAAAGACUAUGACGUUGAUAGGCUGGGUGUGUAAGUGCAGCGAUGUAUUGAGCUAACCAGUACUAAUGAUCCGUGAGGCUUAACCUU
rnacentral:rRNA from 1 species